rnacentral:rRNA from 1 species
GCUCGUAGUUGGAUUUCUGGUAUGCUGCGCCUGGCCCGCCCGCGUUAGCGGUGUGAGUGCUGGUGCGCGGUUGCCAUCCUUCUAGAGAACGAGUCUACCCUUCACUGGGCUGGAUUCGGGAUCUAGAUCAUUUACUUUGAAAAAAUUAGAGUGUUUAAAGCAGGCUAUUGCUAUGAAUACAUUAGCAUGGAAUAAUAAUAUAGGACUUUGGUUCUAUUUUGUUGGUUCUAGGACUGAAGUAAUGAUUGAUAGGGAUAGUUGGGGGUGCUAGUAUUCAGCGGCCAGAGGUGAAAUUCUUGGAUUCGCUGAAGACUAACUUAUGCGAAAGCAUUCUCCAAGGAUGUCUUCUUUAAUCAAGAACGAAAGUUGGGG